rnacentral:lncRNA from 1 species
GUUGCUUCGUGUCAACAGCACCUGAAACAUCACUUAGCACAGGAGCAUCUUCAACAACAUUUUCCUCAUCAAGCAAUACUUCACUAAAUGAACUAACAGUCUUCUUUGAAGACUUGGUCUUCUUUUUCUUGUCCGUGAAAAUAAUAGGUUCAUCUUCUUCAUCCUUGUCUUUCUUCUCAUCAUCAUCCUCAUCCUCAUUUUCAAGCAGAUCCAAUGCAGAACUCCUCAUCCUGCCACCCUUAUUCGACUUCUUUUUCUUGUCCGUGAAAGUAAUAGGUUCAUCAUCUUCAUCUUUGUCUUCCUUCACAUCAUCAUUUUCAUUGACAAGCAGAUCGAAAGCAGAACUGUUCUUGCCACUCUUCUUUGAUUUCUUUUUCUUGUCUGUGAAAAUAACAGGUUCAUCUUCUUCAUCUUUGUCUUCCCUCACAUCCUCAUCUUCAUCAUCAAGAAGAUCAAAAGCAGAGGCCGAAAAUCCAGUAGUACCGCUCUUCUUCUUGCCACCUUUCUUUGACUUCUCCACCACAUCAUCAUCAUCAUCAUCACUCUCCUCCACAGAAUGAUCAUCAUCAAUCACCUCACUUUCACUACCACCAUCAACUGCAUCAAAAGCCGCUGCCGUAAACAGACUACCACUCUUAUUCCCACCUUUCUUCAAACCCUCCUUCGUUUUACCCUUACUCGCCAGAGAAACAUACUUCCCCUCACUAAGUUUAUCCCCUGAAUCAUCAUCAUCAUCAUCAUCCUUAUCUGCCCCCUCAAGCAACUCAAAGGCUGAUUUAGAUAAAGCAUUAUUACCCCCAUUCUUUUUCCCUUUCGACUUCUUCUUCCCAGUGAACACAAUUGCCUCUGCAUCAUUCUCU